AAUCUACUCUCUCCGUCCCAAAAUUCUUGUCUUAGAUUUGUCUAGAUACGGAUGUAUCUAACACUAAAACGUAACUAGAUACAUCCGUAUUUAGACAAAUCUAAGACAAGAAUUUUGAAACGGAGGGAGUACUUG
rnacentral:pre_miRNA from 1 species